UAAUACAUAUAUGCCUGACCUUCUGACUUCACUGACUGCCUAAGCAGGUGUUUUCUAAUAGCACAAUUCCCUUUUCAUUGCCUAUCUAGAUUUCCAUACGUACCCAAGGUGAAAGACUCAAGCUUAGGACUGCGUGGCAGCCGGUGUGACCAGAUGUGCAUGCUCUACGGUUACACUGUUAUGUAUUUGCUCACAAAUAAAACCAGUUUAAAUUCAAAUAUUGUAUGAAAAGAAGCCGGAAUUUACUAUUUGUGGGUGCUGCAGGACGACAAUGUACUGCGAAAUCUCCUCAGUAUUGGAUAAACCCGUUCUUACAUAACAUAAAUCCUAGAAAUGAAUAAAUUGAAUAUCAAUAUAACCGGCUCCCUUAAUUAUA
rnacentral:sRNA from 1 species